rnacentral:rRNA from 1 species
UACGUAGGGGGCAAGCGUUGUCCGGAAUCAUUGGGCGUAAAGCGCGCGUAGGCGGCCCGGUAAGUCCGCUGUGAAAGUCAAAGGCUCAACCUUUGAAUGUCAGCGGAUACUGCCGGGCUAGAGUCCGGAAGAGGCGAGUGGAACUCCUGGUGUAGCGGUGGAAUGCGCAGAUAUCAGGAAGAAUACCCGUGGCGCAAGCGCCCACCUGGCCGAGACCUGACGCUAAGGCACGAAAGCGUGGGGAGCGAACCGG